CUCUCUUUCUCCUGUCUCACUCUCCUCUCCCUCUGUAGGUAUCUGUGUUGUGACACUCAGACAGAGAUGAGGGAGUGGUUCUCUACCUUCCUUACUAUCCAGUAUGAUGGUAACGUGUGGCCAGCGGAUGCAGUACAAACACGUGUGACCCGUGCGUUGCCGGCGGAUACGCGUCAUGGUAAUGUGGCGUUGAUUCCGUUGCGCGGCAGCGAGAAUGAGAUGCGGAACAGCGUUGCAGCUUUCACCGCCGACCCGCUUGGCCUCUUUAGAGAUGUCUGACAAUGGGGCCAGACAAGGGGAUAGACCACCAGCCGUAGAACCCACAAGUCUUCAGAACAUUCCAGUAACAACGACCCCCCCCCACACACACACACACCUGUGCCUAUGAGCUGGACCUCUAAGCAGGGGCAGCAGGUGUGUCAUGAGGAGAGAGAGACUCUGUUACCACAGUGCCUUUUAGGACUGCAGUGCACCCUGGGACCUGUAAGAAGCUCCUGGUAUGGACUGAGAGGCUGAGAACAAAGACUGACUGAGUAUAGACUGUCACUGGAACAGACUGACUGAGUAUAGACUGACUGAGUACAGACUGACUGAGUACAGACUGACUGAGUACAGACUGACUGAGUACAGACUGACUGAGUAUAGACUGACUGAGUAUAGACUGACUGAGUACAGACUGUCACUGGAACAGACUGACUGAGUACAGACUGACUGAGUACAGACUGACUGAGUACAGACUGACUGAGUACAGACUGACUGAGUAUAGACUGACUGAGUAUAGACUGACUGAGUACAGACUGUCACUGGAACAGACUGACUGAGUACAGACUGACUGAGUACAGACUGACUGAGUACAGACUGACUGAGUACAGACUGUCACUGGAACAGACUGACUGAGUACAGACUGACUGAGUACAGACUGACUGAGUACAGACUGACUGAGUAUAGACUGACUGAGUAUAGACUGACUGAGUACAGACUGACUGAGUAUAGACUGACUGAGUACAGACUGACUGAGUACAGACUGACUGAGUACAGACUGACUGAGUAUAGACUGACUGAGUAUAGACUGUUACUGGAACAGACUGACUGAGUACAGACUGACUGAGUACAGACUGACUGAGUACAGACUGACUGAGUACAGACUGACUGAGUACAGACUGACUGAGUACAGACUGACUGAGUACAGACUGACUGAGUACAGACUGACUGAGUAUAGACUGACUGAGUAUAGACUGACUGAGUACAGACUGACUGAGUACAGACUGACUGAGUAUAGACUGUUACUGGAACAGACUGACUGAGUACAGACUGACUGAGUAUAGACUGUUACUGGAACAGACUGACUGAGUACAGACUGACUGAGUACAGACUGACUGAGUACAGACUGACUGAGUACAGACUGACUGAGUAUAGACUGUUACUGGAACAGACUGACUGAGUACAGACUGACUGAGUAUAGACUGUUACUGGAACAGACUGACUGAGUACAGACUGAGUACAGACUGACUGAGUACAGACUGACUGAGUACAGACUGACUGAGUACAGACUGACUGAGUACAGACUGACUGAGUAUAGACUGUUACUGGAACAGACUGACUGAGUAUAGACUGACUGAGUAUAGACUGACUGAGUACAGACUGACUGAGUAUAGACUGACUGAGUAUAGACUGACUGAGUACAGACUGACCGAGUACAGACUGACCGAGUACAGUAUGACCGAGUACAGACUGACCGAGUACAGACUGACCGAGUACAGACUGACCGAGUACAGACUGACCGAGUACAGACUGACCGAGUACAGACUGAUUGAGUACAGACUGAUUGAGUACAGACUGAUUGAGUACAGACUGAUUGAGUACAGACUGACUGAGUAUAGACUGUUACUGGAACAGACUGACUGAGUACAGACUGACUGAGUACAGACUGACUGAGUAUAGACUGACUGAGUACAGACUGACUGAGUACAGACUGACUGAGUACAGACUGACUGAGUACAGACUGACUGAGUACAGACUGUUACUCUUUGUCUCUGAGAGGCCUGGAGAUAAUGGGAUGAUCUUCACCGACAAUCCAGCAGUCACUGUCCCUGUAUGUCCCACAUCAACCCUGUCCCCUCCUCGAACCGUCCCUCUCGCUCCCUGUUGUGAACUCUCCCCCACCUGUACCCUCAUCUCGUCAGCCUCACCCGUGUCCCCUUCUCUCUUAAAGACUCCCCCAUCUGUAGAGUGCUCACAUCACCUCUCCCACGGUGUUCUCCCUCCAUGUUUUAGACUGUAAUUAUUUAUUUCUCCAGCAGAGGGAGCAGCAUAUAGGAAGUUAAGGGGGGACUCUGUCCAUUUAGAAAUAUGGUCAUGUAUGUAGGUAAACUGUUAGACAACCAUGACCAUCACUAGACAUUAAGUUGGUUCCACUAGACAUUAAGUUGGUUCCACUAGACUAGAGGGAGGACAGUGAUGUGUGUGUGUGUGUGUCCAAGUUUACUUAUUGUAGUGACAUCAUUACUCCCACUUCUAGGUCUUAACCCCCCCCCCACCCAACCAACCCAUCCACUCACUCAACCAACCAACCAACCAAUCCAGCCAGCCCCCCCCCUCCUCCCACUGGCCCUCAUAUCUGUUUUUGUCCAAUGAAAGAACUGAUCUGUUUCCUGUUUUGUUAAGACGGAUCGUCUGUCUGGUAUAAACAGAAUAAACACAUUUCAGCCAGAACUGUGUCUAUCAUUUAGACCCCUAACUAUGUGAUGACGUGGAGCAGUCAUUGUUUGACUGUAGUCUGGUUCAACCAGCAUGGAUCUGGUGAGCUCAUGUUCUCUUUCAAUUCAGUACAAACUAACCGCGGGCACAGCGGUGAGAAUGGUUUCACAACGCUAGUGUGACUGACUGUGACCCACUGGUCAGGAAUCAGGAAGGGUCUACCGCUCUGCAGAUGGAUCAAAAGCUCUGUAUUCUCAUCGAUAUCACAUACUCUCAAUCCUCUUAUCAUAUGUAGCAUUUCACUUUUAAUCUGUCUCUGUCUUAUAAAUGUGUUUUUAUGUGAAAAUAACUUUAGUAUAUCCUCAGUUCUUCAGAUUGUAACUGUAGGUAUGGUUUUAAUAAAGUCUAUGCUCGUUGGA